GCCCCCAGUCAGUCAUCUCCCCAGUCAAUAGUCCCCCAGUCAGUCAUCUCCCCCAGUCAAUAGUCCCCCAGUCAGUCAUCUCCCAGUCAAUAGUCCACCAGUCAAUAGCCCCCAGUCAAUAGCCCCCAGUCAGUCAUCUCCCAGUCAAUAGUCCCCCAGUCAGUCAUCUCCCAGUCAAUAUCCCCCCAGUCAGUCAUCUCCCAGUCAAUAGUCCACCAGUCAAUAGUCCCCAGUCAAUAGCCCCCCAGUCAGU
ensembl:lncRNA